GAGACAGCAGUCGCCGCGGGAAUACGUAGGGUGCGAGCGUUAAUCGGAAUUACUGGGCGUAAAGCGUGCGCAGGCGGUUGUGUAAGACAGGUGUGAAAUCCCCGGGCUUAACCUGGGAACUGCGCUUGUGACUGCACAGCUAGAGUAUGGCAGAGGGGGGUGGAAUUCCACGUGUAGCAGUGAAAUGCGUAGAGAUGUGGAGGAACACCGAUGGCGAAGGCAGCCCCCUGGGCCAAUACUGACGCUCAUGCACGAAAGCGUGGGGAGCAAACAGGAUUAGAUACCCCCGUAGUCCCUGUCUCUUAUAC
rnacentral:rRNA from 1 species